rnacentral:rRNA from 1 species
UACAGAGGGGGCAAGCGUUGUUCGGAAUUACUGGGCGUAAAGGGCGCGUAGGCGGCCCGCUAAGUCGAACGUGAAAUCCCCGGGCUCAACCCGGGAACUGCGUCCGAUACUGGCAGGCUUGAAUCCGGGAGAGGGAUGCGGAAUUCCAGGUGUAGCGGUGAAAUGCGUAGAGAUGUGGAGGAACACCAAUGGCGAAGGCAGCCUCCUGGGCCAACACUGACACUCAUGCACGGAAAGCGUGGGGAGCAAACAGGG